rnacentral:lncRNA from 1 species
AUGUUGUGUUCGGGACUGUGUCGGAAGGGCUGCCCAAGUCAAUUCUAUCAAGAUGGAUUAUGGACAGUGGAGCAUCACGACAUAUGACUGGGUCUUUAGCUCUUCUUUAUGAUGUUAAGUCAAUCAAUGGAAGCUAUGUUGGGUUCGCAGGGAAUCAAGGAGGAAGAAUUGUCGGCCAAGGAACGCUUACAAACGGAGUGAUCUCAUUUGACAAAGUGAACUACAUCGUAGAGUUAACGAACAACUUACUAAGUAUAUCACAGAUUUGUGAUAAAGAUUUUAGUGUGCAUUUUACUAUAUCUGAAUGUAUAGUGUUGAAACCAGGAUUUAAAAUCCCUGAUGAGUUGGUGUUGUUGCGCGCUCUGCGGGUAAAUGAUCUUUAUAUUUUGGAUCUGAGUGCCGCAACGCCAACAACUCAUCAAAAACAGUGUUUUGUCACCAAGUCUAAAGCUACUGAAAAGGAGUCUGUAAUGUGGCACCGAAAAAUGGGUCACAUUCACGUGCGAAAAAUGAAUUUUUUG